rnacentral:lncRNA from 1 species
UCACAAAUCUACCAGCUCACAAGUCUCGCUCUUCCUCCCGAGUCUCUCAGUGCGCACCCACCGGCAGUGCCAGCGCUCUUUGUGCCAUUCCUUAUGGGAAAGGCUGGCAGGUCACGGCCUCUUGUCUAUCUGGGCUCCCAGGCAGAGCUCCAUCUGCACCUCACGCUGCAGCUUGCAACUGGGCUGCCUGCAGCAGCUGUGCUCCUCAGCACCAGCUGUGCUGCAGGGUUGUAGGCUUAGGCAGAGCGGGUGGGACUGGAGUAAAAUCCAAAUGUUGCAGCAUAAGAUAUUGCUCCUGGCAGAUUUUUUCCAGGCUGGACACCCCUGGCAAGGGCUUCAGCCAUUGAUGUGUCAGACAGGGCUUCAGGAGACACAUAACAAUGUGCCUUGCCCAAGGUAACUGAGCUGUUCGGUGACUGACUGAGGGGAUGUUGUUGCUUUGAGAGCAUGUAUGGCUUUAGUUGCCACAGGGAUUUCUAUGUAGUAACCCAUCCUCUUACAGGGACAAAAGCCUUGUGUGGUGCUCUGCACUCUGGGGUCCUAACUCCCACUGGGCCCUCACAAGCUUUGGUGAAUAUUAAUAAUUAAAGACACGUUUAUGAUAUUUUUCCCCACACAUGUGUCAUCCCCCUCCUUCUCUAGCUGCUGUAGGCAGAACUUCAGUCUCUCCACCUCUAGGUCCCAUAUGGCAGGACUCUGAAAGUUCAGAAGGCUCCUUUCCAGCUGUGAGUAAAGAUGAGACUGGGCUAAGCAUGCUUUUCCGUACAGCCAGAGGUUUGUAGGGAGAGUUUUCCAAAGGAAGUGUGUCUGUUUUAUAGGAUCUGGUGUAAACUUCAGUUUUGAGACAGUAAUUCCAGACUUACUGGUCAUGUUGCAGUGCUAUCCGGGGCCCGCUGAAGUCUUUUGGUAACCAACUGAUCUGCUCUGAGAGGUUGGAAUUUAACCCUGGAGACCUCUGUGAUGAUUUAUCCAACUGUUCUUCUAGGAGAGAGGAGUGACUGUGAUGUGGGGAGCCUAUUGCAAUUCCUUUGGCAGAAAAAGAAAAGGAAAAGGAUGGAUUUGCUUUCUGCAGACCUCUGGAAGGGACUAGAGGUCUGGGCUACAAAAUGUGACCCUUUGAGUGAUUGUGCAUCAUCUGGGGAAGGAACAAUGCUGCAGAGCAGGACCACAUCAUUCUCCAGAGUUUCUGCUUGA